ACACCACAUUUCUCACAGGAACUUGGUUUCUGUGCUGUGUUGCGAUUGUGUUGCAUGUGUGUGUGGGUGAAAUAUGUAAUAAAUUGUGUUUGAAAGGUGGGUUGCUUGUUUGGCAUAAGCAAAAGCCGAAAAAAAAGCAUGCUUUGGUUAUAACGCGGCACCGCUUGCAGCGGAGAUUUUUACAACUCCCGCGACUUACGUUAUAAGCGAUGUACACUGUAUAUCAUAUUGUUGCUUGCAAAAGCCCCGGCUUCGA
rnacentral:lncRNA from 1 species